CUUCCCUAAAACAAAUCCUACGCAUACAUUUCCAUUUUCAAUUUCCCUACAAUACAAACCCAAAAAAAUUCUCUCCAAAUUUCCUUUAAAUUUUGAAAACCCUAGCCACCGCACUCUCCAAUCACAGCCUGUUCCCACGGCAGCCACCACAGCCACACCAGGUUGCCUACGUCCACUCAUCACUUUCUCCCAUCUCAGCCGCACCACCACCACUAGCACCAUCAAUCUCAACGGCGCCCCAACCGACCACCACCCUAAACGGCCGUCACUUUCCUCCCGACUUUGACUUCUGCUUAUCAGGAGCAACCUAACAUGUUAUCUCUAUUGGAGUUAUCGACUAUUUCAGCAUUACUGGGUUACGCAGACGCAUUCCGAGGUUUCGUUGUAGGAUUUUUUUUAAGUCAUUAAUUCUUUAUUAGGUUUGAGCUUAGGAAUAUGAAUCCUUGUAAAACUUAGUUUUUGUCACUUUAAACCUAAUAUAUAAACAUAUUUUUUCUCU